rnacentral:rRNA from 1 species
AGAGUUUGAUCAUGGCUCAGGACGAACGCUGGCGGCACGCUUAACACAUGCAAGUCGAACGAGAGAAGAGGAGCUUGCUUUUCUGAUCUAGUGGCGGACGGGUGAGUAACACGUGCAAUCUGCCUUUCAGAGGGGGAUACCGAUUGGAAACGAUCGUUAAUACCGCAUAACAUAAUUGAACCGCAUGAUUUGAUUAUCAAAGAUUUAUCGCUGAAAGAUGAGCUCGCGUCUGAUUAGCUAGUUGGUAAGGUAACGGCUUACCAAGGCGACGAUCAGUAGCCGGACUGAGAGGUUGAUCGGCCACAUUGGGACUGAGACACGGCCCAGACUCCUACGGGAGGCAGCAGUGGGGAAUAUUGCACAAUGGAGGAAACUCUGAUGCAGCGAUGCCGCGUGAGGGAAGAAGGUUUUAGGAUUGUAAACCUCUGUCUUCAGGGACGAAAAAAGACGGUACCUGAGGAGGAAGCUCCGGCUAACUACGUGCCAGCAGCCGCGGUAAUACGUAGGGAGCGAGCGUUGUCCGGAAUUACUGGGUGUAAAGGGAGCGUAGGCGGGAUCGCAAGUCAGAUGUGAAAACUAUGGGCUUAACCCAUAAACUGCAUUUGAAACUGUGGUUCUUGAGUGAAGUAGAGGUAAGCGGAAUUCCUAGUGUAGCGGUGAAAUGCGUAGAUAUUAGGAGGAACAUCAGUGGCGAAGGCGGCUUACUGGGCUUUAACUGACGCUGAGGCUCGAAAGCGUGGGGAGCAAACAGGAUUAGAUACCCUGGUAGUCCACGCCGUAAACGAUGAUUACUAGGUGUGGGGGGACUGACCCCUUCCGUGCCGCAGCAAACGCAAUAAGUAAUCCACCUGGGGAGUACGACCGCAAGGUUGAAACUCAAAGGAAUUGACGGGGGCCCGCACAAGCAGUGGAGUAUGUGGAUUAAUUCGAAGCAACGCGAAGAACCUUACCAGGUCUUGACAUCGUAUGCAUAGCUCAGAGAUGAGUGAAAUCUCUUCGGAGACAUAUAGACAGGUGGUGCAUGGUUGUCGUCAGCUCGUGUCGUGAGAUGUUGGGUUAAGUCCCGCAACGAGCGCAACCCUUACUGUUAGUUGCUACGCAAGAGCACUCUAGCAGGACUGCCGUUGACAAAACGGAGGAAGGUGGGGAUGACGUCAAAUCAUCAUGCCCCUUAUGACCUGGGCCUCACACGUACUACAAUGGCUGUCAACAGAGGGAAGCAAAGCCGCGAGGUGGAGCGAACCCCUAAAAGCAGUCUUAGUUCGGAUUGUAGGCUGCAACCCGCCUACAUGAAGUCGGAAUUGCUAGUAAUCGCAGAUCAGCAUGCUGCGGUGAAUACGUUCCCGGGCCUUGUACACACCGCCCGUCACGCCAUGGGAGUCGGUAACACCCGAAGCCUGUAGUCUAACUGCAAGGAGGACGCAGUCGAAGGUGGGAUUGAUGACUGGGGUGAAGUCGUAACAAGGUA